rnacentral:rRNA from 1 species
AGCUGAGAGGUGGUGCAUGGCCGUCGUCAGUUCGUACUGUGAAGCAUCCUGUUAAGUCAGGCAACGAGCGAGACCCACGCCCACAGUUGCCAGCGUACUCUCCGGAGUGACGGGUACACUGUGGGGACCGCCGCUGCUAAAGCGGAGGAAGGAAUGGGCAACGGUAGGUCAGUAUGCCCCGAAUAUCCCGGGCUACACGCGAGCUACAAUGGUUGGUACAAUGGGUAUCUACCCCGAAAGGGGAUGGAAAUCUCCUAAAGCCAAUCUUAGUUCGGAUUGAGGGCUGCAACUCGCCCUCAUGAAGCUGGAAUCCGUAGUAAUCGCGUUUCAACAGAACGCGGUGAAUACGUCCCUGCUCCUU